GCGGCGAGUGAGCGGCAAGAGCUCAGAUUUGAAAUCGUGUUUCGGCACGAGUUGUAGAGUGUAGGCGGGAGUCUCUGUGGAGCGCGGUGUCCAAGUCCCUUGGAACAGGGUGCCUGAGAGGGUGAGAGCCCCGUAGGGUGCUGCGCGAAGCUUUUGAGGCCCUGCUGACGAGUCGAGUUGUUUGGGAAUGCAGCUCCAAGCGGGUGGUAAAUUCCAUCUAAGGCUAAAUAUUGGCGAGAGACCGAUAGCGAACAAGUACUGUGAAGGAAAGAUGAAAAGCACUUUGAAAAGAGAGUGAAACAGCACGUGAAAUUGUUGAAAGGGAAGGGUAUUGGGCUCGACAUGGGGGGUGCGCACCGCUGUCUCUUGUAGGCGGCGCUCUGGGCGCCCUCUGGGCCAGCAUCGGUUCCUGCUGCGGGAGAAGGGGCUCCGGAAAGUGGCUCUUCGGAGUGUUAUAGCCGGGGCCAGAUGCCGCGUGUGGGGACCGAGGACUGCGGCUUCUGUCUCGGAUGCUGGCAUAACGGCGCAAUACCGCCCGUCUU
rnacentral:rRNA from 1 species